rnacentral:rRNA from 1 species
AUGGCGGCGGAAGGAGCGGCUCGGCCGAUGCUGUCCGGUCGAGGACGAAGCCGGAGAAGUAGGGGCGGAGCUGGGAAGAAGCGGCUGCAGCAGGAGCUUGGGGUCGGGUUGGCCAUGGCGUGGAGGAUGAACCAGGUGGCCUCGGCGAGGAGGCGCGGUGGCAGGCCGACGGGAGCAGCAGCUCAGACGGCGAGGCGUGGCCAUGGAAGGAGCGGGCGGUCUCGCGGGACGGAGGCGCGGGGCGACAUGGAUGAAGCGGCCGCGGGGCUCGGCGCAGAUGGAUCGGGAGGAGCGGUGCGAGCGAGAGGAGGGAGGAGUGCAGGGAGGUUGAGCGCGGUUCAACGGGGCGCAGCCGUGGACAUGGACGAUGGCGAGGAGGUGGUUGGGCGAGGCGAUGGUGGGCACGAGCGAGGGAGAGGGAGAGAUGCGGGAGGAUCGGGCAGGGGGGUGUAG